rnacentral:sRNA from 1 species
UAUGGAAGCUGAUAGAUGUGAACAGACGGACGCGAAUCCCCCUGAGCGGCGGGGCCAGGUCAGACACAAACAUACCAUCAUCCAGGCAAUGAGCAGCAACGGCAGGUCAGGUUCUGACUUUUCUGACCUAUCGGGAGGCACCCGACGCGUCCGGGACAGUUGCAGUUUUCAGCAGACAAAAGGCCUGCGGAUUUACCCGCAGGCCUUUUUAUUUAU